CUGUAAAGCAAUACGAGGAGCUUCGACUUCUAGAAUCCAUUGAUUCAUCUGAAGAUGAUGACCUUGUAUCUAAAAAGGAGCUUGAUGAAGUAAGGGAAAGAUACGAAAAUGUUCUGAGUGAGAACCGAAGGUUACGGAAGGCCAACCUCCAACUACAAAGUGCGCUCUGCUCUAAAAUUUUUCAAAUCGAAAAUGCUGGGGGCCAUGUGACAUCACCCCAUGCCAUCCUGAAGCAUAACCAGACUCAAACCCACUUGGCUCCACCUCCAAAGCUUCACUCAUCCGAGCUUGUUCACUGAUUUAAGCCCCAC